AGCUAUAUAAUUUAAAAUAUAAAAAUAUUAAUUUUGUAAAUUAAUUUCAAGAAAAAUAUUCUUUUUAGCUA
rnacentral:tRNA from 1 species